AGAGUUUGAUCCUGGCUCAGAACGAACGCUGGCGGCAGGCUUAACACAUGCAAGUUGAACGGGAUUUGUGUGGUGCUUGCACCAUAUAAUGAGAGUAGCGCACUGGUGAGUAACACGUGGGAACGUGCCUUUUAGUGGGGGAUAACAUCUGGAAACGGAUGCUAAUACCGCAUACGCCCUGAGGGGGAAAGAUUUAUUGCUAAGAGGUCGGCCCGCGGUAGAUUAGGCAGUUGGUGGGGUAAAGGCCUACCAAACCUACGAUCUAUAGCUGGUCUGAGAGGACGAUCAGCCACAUUGGAACUGAGACACGGUCCAGACUCCUACGGGAGGCAGCAGUGAGGAAUAUUGGGCAAUGGAGGCAACUCUGACCCAGCCAUGCCGCGUGAGUGAGAAGGUUUUCGAAUUGUAAAGCUCUUUCGGGUGUGAAGAUGAUGACGGUAACACCAGAAGAAGCCCCGGCAAACUUCGUGCCAGCAGCCGCGGUAAUACGAAGGGGGCAAGCGUUGUUCGGAAUUACUGGGCGUAAAGGGUGUGUAGGCGGUUAAGUAAGAUAGUGGUGAAAUGCCGGGGCUCAACCUCGGAAUUGCCAUUAUGACUAUUUAGCUAGAAUGAUGCAGAGGAUAGCGGAAUACCCAGUGUAGAGGUGAAAUUCGUAGAUAUUGGGUAGAACACCAGAGGCGAAGGCGGCUAUCUGGGCAUUGAUUGACGCUGAGGCACGAAAGCAUGGGGAUCAAACAGGAUUAGAUACCCUGGUAGUCCAUGCUGUAAACGAUGAAUGCUAGUUGUUGGAGGAAUUCAGUGACGCAGUUAACACAAUAAGCAUUCCGCCUGGGGAGUACGGUCGCAAG
rnacentral:rRNA from 1 species